CUUGGAGACAAAUCUGAAGAAUAAAUCCUGCAGUUGAACUGUAAACAAAUUCAUGAUAUGUGCCUCUUUAUGUUAAUACACAGCUGCGGGAUCUAGGAUCGCACCCCUCCCGGGCACCUGUCAGAGCAGGGGGGCAACAUUUGCCCGCAUCACCACUGUCCCACUGACAUCCAAAUUCAUGCAGCAGCCAGAUCACCACUCCUUGCAGCUAAUGAAAGUCUUCCGAAGUAGAAGAGGAGCUUUGCCACAAAACAUUAACAAUGACAAGGAUGCUGCCAUUGAAACUAAAAGAACUCGUGUACUGAAAGCACGAAUUGUUUAUCUCAGUGAAGACCCCGAAACUCUCAUAAAGGAGGACACUGAUGACAACCAUUCGGCGAUGCGGCAGAUGAUCCUGGGAAUCUUCACCAUUAAGAUGGAAGCUGCAGAACCCACAGAUGACCUUGAAGGUGUUGGAAUAAUCACUGGAGGUGUCCAAGUGCUUCAUGACCUUGCUGAGCUGGUGAGUUCUGUCAGCGUACGCCAGAUGUUCGUCACCAACCUGAGAAACCGUCCUUUGAGCCCCAGCCAUGUGGACUCGAUGGAAAAUCUGGUUCUCUCAUUAUACCACAACCUGGUUACGGGGACGAAGGCGUUUCCUUAUAUUGCCUUCAGGGGAUUCUUUAACAAACUGCAGCUGAGGACACCUUUCACCCAUGUGCCAGAGAGUCAGAGGGAGAACAACAUGCCAUCUCCUCCUACCGACUCACCAGCUGGUUUAAUGGUGCUGCCUGCAGGGUCCCACCUCCAUUCACGGUUGCUCACACCUCUACUUCCAGAGAAGGCAGAUCUUUCUGUCCUGAAGGCAGACCGGAGGAACUGCGUCUGCACCCUGCAUGUCGACGGCCGCACCAUCACUAGAGUCAUUUCCACUGUGUACUGCACAGAGGAGAGGGAAAUGACAAAUCGCUGGAGAGUUACAGACUACACCUCUGACGGCACAGUAAUCAUGUCGGUGCUCUGCCAGUUUCUGAAGAGGUUUACACAGGGUGCAAAGAGGAAGCCUGCAGAGGAGGAGAGCAGCAGCAGGAGCCCCCCUCCACCAAGGAAACGUCUCCGGCUGUGAUCAGUAAUGAAGCCUUUCCUGGACAUAUGGCAUAUGGAUGUUACAUAUGGAUGUUUCCUCGUGCUUUGGAGCAAACUUUCGAACUCCUCAUGUCUGUGCUGUGUCUGGAAAGGCUGGAAACACCUCUCCAUCUUACACAGAGACCAUCACCAUCACGGCUCGUCUGAGGAGUUAUUUCUGUACAUAUGUAUAUAGUUUUUUUAAAUUAUUGAGAUACACAGGUCAGC
ensembl:lncRNA